UGCAGAGGUCUCAAGCGUUGUUCGGAUUCAUUGGGCGUAAAGGGCGCGUAGGCGGCGGGGUAAGUCGGGUGUGAAAUCUCAGAGCUCAACUCUGAAACUGCACUCGAUACUGCUCUGCUUGAGGACUGGAGAGGAGACUGGAAUUCACGGUGUAGCAGUGAAAUGCGUAGAUAUCGUGAGGAAGACCAGUGGCGAAGGCGGGUCUCUGGACAGUUCCUGACGCUGAGGCGCGAAGGCCAGGGGAGCAAACGGG
rnacentral:rRNA from 1 species